rnacentral:lncRNA from 1 species
AGUCCCAUGACGGUGUUUUAACCAUGAACCUCUUUAAGUAUACUAUUUAGUUAAAGGAAUCUUUAAAUUCAUAUUUAUUCUGGGGAGUCUGGGAGAACAGGUGCCACAGUGCCUGUGUGGGAGUCAGAGGACAGCUUUCCUGCAGGAGUCAGUUCUCUUCUUAGGUUAGGGAACCUGUAGUCACAAUCUGUGCUACAAAACAGGUCUAGCUAUGUGUCCUAUAGAAAGCCAAAUUACAAGAAAAGGAGUUUUAUUUAGUAGCCACAUUGGAUUUUAUACUUUCAUUUAGAUAGCUGACGUUUUCCAAAACCUUUACGUCGCCGGUAGUUUGUUAAGCAUUGUAUCAGCUGCUCUGAAUCAGAGGUGGAGAUUAUCAAUUUGCUGUGUUUGUGCUGCACCUGUCCUGUUGGCUGUGCCAUCCUCCCUGCUGUCCCUCCUUAGCAGAACUUCCAACUCAGUAGAACAGAUUGUCACCCCUCCUGCAGAAACACAAGGCCUUCCGCACCCGCACCUGGCAGCAUGAAAAAGCCCUGCUCAGCCUCCCUCCAGAACGUGUGAGGUAGAGCUGUGUGUAGAGCUUUCAUCAGAGGCUUCAUUAAACCUGGUAGGAUGGAGUGUGAGCCUUCUUCUCCCAUGGACCCCAGCAAUGGCCGCAUCAAAGCCACUCAUCUAUAUUAAUCAGCGUGCAGAAUAGGGCUCAUCUGGGCUGUUGGUGCCCAGCUGGUGGCCAAGUAGACUUUACCCCUCUGGGAUUUGGCCACAGCCACUGCUCCCUGUGUUCUUCAGAGGUCACUGCCUGAGUGAGGCUGCCAGCCUGAGUGUUCUUGCUGAGCACUGGGAGUGGAAUCCACCUGAACAAGACAAGGAGUUAGAACCCAGUCUGUACAUGAUAAAGAACCUUCCAAAUACUGGAUGGAAACAAUGCUCGCUCUCUAGGAGGAUGCUACUCUCACUGUGGUAAUGAAAAUCUUUCCGUCCUUUGCUAGGGCUCUCGUGUGCCCUGUGCUUGUCUGUGCUGGGAAGAACUAAAGGACGGUGCUACUGCUUGAUACCUACGUUUCCUCUGUGUCUUUUCUUCCUUUUUAUUUUUUUAAGGUUUUUUCGUUUUAUUUUCUGUGUACCACAUUGCCUGUGUGGUGCUCUCAGAGGCCAGAAGACGAUGUGGAUCCCCCUGUGCAGGAAUUACAGAUGGUUGUGAGUUGUGUGCGUGCUGGGAGCCAAACCCAGGUACUCUGCAAGAGCCACGAGCCCUGGCUGAAAACCCUGACUGAAGACAACCUUCCAAGGGAUCAGUGAGAUGGCUCAGUGGGUAGAGGUACUUGCUGUACUGACCCCAUGACCUAGAUUUGAUCUGCCCCACAUUUGAGGAGAGAGUCAACUCCACAGUUCUUUUCCAGUCUUCACACAAGCUAUAGCACAUGUGAAGGAAACACGUGUAGCACGUGCCCCCCCCACACACACACACACAUCGUUGACACAGACAAUACAUUCUUAAAUUUUCUUUUACUGUGUGUGUUGGUGUUUUGCCUGCAUGUAGGUCUAUGCACCACAUGCAUGCCCGGUACUGCAAAGGAUAGAGCGGGCGUUAGACCUCUGAAACUGGAGUUAGCUGCCUGGAUAUGGGUGCUAGGAAUCGAACUUGGGUCCUCCGGAAGAGCAGCCUGUGCUUUACCACUGAUCCAUCUCUCCAGCCUCACACAGCAGCCCUUUCAAAUUCCACUAAACUCCUCUGUGUCACCUUAUCUAUCACUGAGCUUCCCCGGAGCCACAGUAGCUUAGAUCCAUCUUUUUUCUCUAAAGAUUUAGUUCUAUUUUCUUUAGCUUUUAAUCCAAACUGGCCUGGUACACUGCCUAAACAUCCCAGCAUUCCUGAAUCCAGCCCACCGUCAGCUGCUGACUGACAGGAUGUCCGAGUCCCGUUUAUUGAGAAAGGCACAGCGUGUCCACACGGAGUGCUUGCUACCACUUACUGAUCUUAUUUUGCCUGGUCUACAGACUAUUGACUGACAAUAUCCUGUACAUCAUUUUGUGGAUCUAACUCGGCUUGAAGCCUCUCUCGGGGAAUAAAAACAGAGUAUGCUGGGCCUCUCCCAAGGGGGGAAACUUAUUAUUUUACCCAAUUACAGAAGCAGCAUAAUGAAAAGGGGUAAGAGUAUAAUAUGGGAUCUGUUUAAGUAGCUGUAAAUUUAGCCUUUGUAGCUAUGAGUGAUUCAGAAAGGUGGGACGUUUUUAAUAAAGUCUUCUGGUCUCUGUCACUUUUACAUUGUCCUUUUCCCUUUUGUUUUUCCUUUCAGGCCUUUUCUUUGUGUGUAAAAGCCAAACAGACUGACCUCAUUUUGCUUUUAAAAUACCUAUUAUAUCAUUGUGGUUUAUAACCAGCUUUUUUCCUCUUUAAGACUAUCUGGUAGACAUCUUUGUACAGCAGUGCGAGACCCUUGUCUUCUGCGGGAGGGAACUGGCUUCUCUCACCACUUUUCUCAGUUUCUAUUGUUUUAACUUUUUAAUUAAUUACCUGUGGUUUUCACACAUUGUGUACUCCAAUCCCACUCACUCAGCUCCCCAUGCCUCUGGAUUCAACCUUUGCCCUUGCACCCUCCUCCACAAAAGGAAGCAAAAAAUAAGAAUAACUCAGUCUAGCAGUCAUCAUCAUCAUCUCCCCGUGGAGGAUGUAGCAUGUUUCAGAUAGCCGCGCAGGGCGCCCUUUUCCUCAAACGGCUUUCCUUGGAAAUGUUCACUGCAACGAAUUAUUGAUCUGGCUUGAGGCUUCUGGCUUCUGCUACACUUUCAUUCCUGGAUCCUCAGCAGGACUCCUCUCGCAUCUCCUGCUGCUGCCUCUGUCAGAGACAUCCUGCAGCUUUGUUUAGUUCUUCAUGUGCUCCAGCAGCUCAGAGAUGGGGAAGAUGUCGGAAUGAGACAACUCAAAGCCCUGGAUUGGGCCUGCGUGGUAGCUGACUUGUUCAGCUGAGCUCAAGCCCCUGAGGUCUGCUCUCUACCACUGCCCCAGGGAGGGAUGGAGCUAGCUCUCCAGCUCUCAAGCCACCAGAGGCCAGCUCUCCACCAGUGGCCAGCUCUACCACUGCCAGGGUGAGAGGCAGGGCUACCUCUCCAUGGUGCUGCAGCUAAUGAGUGGCAGGGCAGGCUCUGUGCAGUGCUAGGACAUCAACAUGGCCCCAACCAGGGAUGUCUGCAUGACCUUUGGUGGUGAUAUGGGCCACAGACAUUGACACAGACCCCUACAGCUUCAGGGCCACAGACGCAGAUGUGGCCCUCAGCAGCUGCACGGGCCAGGACACCAAGCUGGUCCUCACCAUCCUUAUGUUUCCAUUCCAGGCCCUCCCCCCUUAAUAGUGCACAAAUCAUUUUGCUUCUCUUUCUCUGCUUCCCACUUGCUCUUCACAGUGGUGCCUGCCCAUCCUCCACUGCUACGUGGUGCCGGGCCAGGUGUGCCUCUAGUUGUCUUCCAUCCUGGGUGUCUUCCGUGCCUCUAGCUCUCAGUUCCCAUUUUCCUAUAAAGACAAUUUAUUAUAGUUCUCGGGCAUCAGAACUUAGUGUUGUUUGCUUUUGCUUUGCUUUGGGUUGGGUUUGUUUCGUGGUGCCCAGAGUCUUGGGCACACUAAGCAAGCCUUCUGCCUCUAAGCUGCACGCCUACUUGUAGUUAUGUUAUCUUUAGUUAGAUCAACUACCACUUUGCCAAUUAUCGAGGUAGACCAUCAGUCAUAAUAUUUUUCAGUGGAAAUGAUUUUAUCGUCAUUCUCCAUGCCUUAAAACCAGCCUGGGGAACUGAAUGAAAGCCUUCUUCAAGAUACAGUGAAAAAGUGGUUUGAAUGUAGCUCAGCAGUGGAACAUAAAUGAGGUCCUAGGUCAAUCCCCAGGAGCACC